rnacentral:rRNA from 1 species
UCCGUAGCCGGGUUGUUAAGUCUCCUGGGAAAUCCAACGGCUCAACCGUUGGGCGUUCAGGGGAUACUGGCAAUCUAGGGACUGGGGGAGGUGAGAGGUACUCUAGGGGUAGGAGUGAAAUCCUGUAAUCCUUGGGGGACCACCUGUGGCGAAGGCGUCUCACCAGAACAGCUCCGACGGUGAGGGACGAAAGCUGGGGGAGCAAACCGGAUUAGAUACCCGGGUAGUCCCAGCUGUAAACGAUGCGCGUUAGGUGUAUCGGUGACUACGAGUCACCGAGGUGCCGAAGGGAAACCGUGAAACGUGCCGCCUGGGAAGUACGGUCGCAAGGCUGAA